AGAUGAGGUAGAGGUCGCGAAUAUUAUAAGUAAGCGUGCAGAGGCGUUAAGAGCCGCCUGUGAAGCCGCCGAAAGGAAUAUCCGCCGAAGUCUGCGCCGCCGCUCCUACAUGCGCCGCAGACUGGGGCCGUUGCCGAACAGGCACGGAACUGUCACAGUGUACCGCAGGCUGCCAUUGCCUGCAGAAUUCUGCACUGUGUUGCGCUAUCUUAACA
rnacentral:ncRNA from 2 species